rnacentral:rRNA from 1 species
UCUUCUGAGUAAACAAGCAAAUAAAUUAAAACUUUCAACAACGGAUCUCUUGGCUCUGGCAUCGAUGAAGAACGCAGCGAAAUGCGAUAAGUAAUGUGAAUUGCAGAAUUCAGUGAAUCAUCGAAUCUUUGAACGCACAUUGCGCCCGCCAGUAUUCUGGCGGGCAUGCCUGUUCGAGCGUCAUUACAACCCUCAGGCCCCCGGGCCUGGCGUUGGGGAUCGGCGGAAGCCCCCUGCGGGCACAACGCCGUCCCCCAAAUACAGUGGCGGUCCCGCCGCAGCUUCCAUUGCGUAGUAGCUAACACCUCGCAACUGGAGAGCGGCGCGGCCACGCCGUAAAACACCCAACUUCUGAAUGUUGACCUCGAAUCAGGUAGGAAUACCCGCUGAACUUAAGCAU